rfam:Morus notabilis contig3999, whole genome shotgun sequence.
AUACUUACCUGGGCGGGGUCGAUGGGCGUUCAAGAAGGCCCAUGGCCUAGGCUGGUGACCUCCAUUGCACUCCGGAGGGGUGCCCGUCUAUGGUCUCCUCAUUGCAGGAGAGCCAACGUCAUAAUUUGUUGCAUUGGGGGCCUGCGUUCGCGCGGCCCCUGC